GGCAAAGGAGGCGGGACUUUCCCCCGGAAGUCUUCCCUGGAAUUCGUCUUUUUCCCCCCAGAAAUAUUUAUUGAUUUCGCAUUCCAUAUUCGUGUCGGCCCCGGUGUGUAAGGACCUUUAAAGGGGUAUUCCACUGUAAAAUUAAUUUAGGAAAUGAUCAUAAAUGUUCUUCCUUAACAAGAACAUCGCCACUCUGUUUAAUCCACAAGAACAAGCGGCUGCUGUAGGUGAGUUGUGUUUAGUCUCUUUGCUAAAGAAAUUGGUCAAAGUUAAAAAGAUGUUUGGUGGCUAGUACUAUGGCUGGGACCCUAUAUGUACUAUUGAUGAAGUUAGGUGCUGUUUUGAGCAUUAUUUGUGGCUAUAGAGUGGUGUUUUGGUUGAGGUGUGUUUAUGGCUCCUCAGACUGCUAUGUAUUGCUAUCCUGCGGUCGUUACUAAAGUUGUUAUAACUAGAGAAGCAAGCGGUCGGCAACAUUCAUCUUUGGAGGUGGAGUCUAAGGGGGGGUCUGUGUUACAGUGUGUUGGACCGAACUUAAUUUUACACCUGAAUAUCCCUUUAAUGUGCACCUCCCCUCAAAUAAAAUCAACCGAAAUGAGAAUCAAAGGCAGAACCCCUCUCUGCUUUAAAGACAUCUGAAAUUUACUUACACAUCUAUAUAUUAUAUAUAAAUUAUAAUAUUAACACUCAUUAACACAGUUACAGAUGAGACUAUUCAAGUUAUGGUGCUAAGGCUCAGACUGGUAUAGACUUAGAUUCUUAUAGACUCUCAUAGAUCAUCUACAGAAAGGGGCAGAGCCGCCUCUUUUGCCUGAGAAGACUCCAAUCUAUAGACAUCUGUAGUUAGAAACUGCAGAUGUUUUAUCAGUCUGUGGUGUAGAUCUACAGUGUUCUGUUCUACGCUGCAGUCUGCUGGGGAGGAAGCAACAAACACAAAGAUGAAGAUAAAGAAGGAUCGAGUAAGUUCUUGUAUUGAUUGAUCGGGGCUCACAAAAACAGAAUGUCAGACGGGUGACUUUAAAAACACAAAAAUCAGGUUUAUACUGGACUCAGACCAGACCUGGAGUGUGUGUGUGUGUGUGUGUGUGUGUGUGUGUGUGUGUGUGUGUGUGUGUGUGUGUUUAAAACUCAGACCAGAAGGACCAGAAGGACAGGAGAGGAAUGGUACCAUCUGGAAAAAUGCAGAGUGACUGCACACACACACGCACGCGCACGCACGCACGCACGCACACACACAGUGCUGGAGCCCCUCUGGGUGUUUGAGCAGUAAAGCAUCCUGGGAAAGCGACGGUCCAGCUGCUGCAGCCUGCAGCGUGUACAGACAGAGAAAAGCUGCACAUUAAAUCAGAGACAGAAAAUCCUGAGAGUCAAAACCAACGAGAGUCUGAGACCAACAGAUGAACAGAGGAAUUUAAAAAACAAACUGAAGAUUAACCACAUCGGGACAAAAUCAGAGAGUCUGAAACCAACAAAUCUGAGAAAAAAACGAAUUGAGAGUGAAUCUGAGAAAAAAACAGAUAGGAAAGUGUUAAUGACAAAAAAAAAAAACCACCUGAAAAAGACCUGGAUCAGAACCAGUCUAAAUCAGAACCAGAGCCUGAAACAGGAUCAACGUCUGAAUCAGAAUCAAAAUCAGGAUCUGAACCAGAUUCUGACCCUGAAUCAGAAAUCCAGUCCACAGGUGUAUUAAAGUUUCAGGUCAGCAGUUUUGCUCUCAGUGCUUGGGUCUGGAGGAGGACCUCAGUUUAAUCGCAGAGGAAGCCGUCGUUAGUCGUGGCGUGAAGAUUUAGAGCAAAGACACAAGGAGGAACAAACAAACAAACGAGCUUCAGUCUCACUUUCUCUCUCAGAUUUAGACUGACAUGAAUCAGAAAUCAACAUCAGUCCAUCUGAUUGGCUGUCCUCACCACUAAUCACACAGUCCAUUAUUACACAAAUGACAAUAAAAAUAAGGAUUACAAUUGAUCAAAUCUGUUAACACAAUGUCCUCAUAUCCAGCAGGGGGUGCCCUCUCUGGUUUUCUUUACUGAAAAAACAAACUGAACACUUUACUGAUUUUAACAAAACCUUAACUCAAUUUACUUUACAGAACUUUGUGUAACAAAAACCCAAAGUUAACAGCAUGACUCAGUCAGACUAAUUUGAGCUGAUCUAAUUUAUUAUGGUGCUAUCAGGUGAUCCAGACCAGAAAGUGGGAGUCAGACAGGUGAGACCUCACUCAGACAGGUGACGAACAUGGUGACCCAAAAACGAUCAGAAGUUCUUAAAUACUAAAAAAUACUUUGUUUAUGGCAGAGCAGUGGAUUAAACAGAGUGGCGACACUCCCAUAGGCAUACGCUGUACAGCCCGAUGGACCCCACUUCCGGGUUUUGGAACUCUCAAUAGUUCCAACAUGACCGCUUGUCAAGUCGGACGCCAUUCGCUUCUAUGGCCACAAGGCAAGCUCUCACCGAGGUUAAAUGAUAAAAUAUCAACAAGUUUAAUGCCAAGACGUGUGUUAUUGAUAUCGAGGGGACCCCUUUACAUGUAAAAAUGUAUGUCCCAAAUGUAAUUACGUUUUUUUAGUCAGGAAUUGGGAUCGAUUUUUUUAGCCACGGCUUGCUCUCACACUCCCCAAAGUAAAAUAUUGUAUCAACGAAUUUAAUGCCAAUACGUGUGUAAAUGGUAUCAAGGGACCCCUUUAUAUGUAAAAUGAUUUUAAUUUUAGUAUGCUCAAAUUGUAAUUACAAAUGUAACAACGUUUUCUUUAGUUAUUUUAGAAUUGGGAUCGAUUUUUUUAGCCACGGCCUGCUAGUUGGACGUCGUCAGCUGUAGAGGCCUGGCAAAAUUUAUUGUGUGACUGAGUUAUGAAUCACAGAUAAAUCAUCAUUAUCAAUCAUAUGUUGAGAUGGUUACUUACGGGCUUUAUUUUAGAUUUCAGCCUUUAUCAGUACCCAAUGGUAUGUGCAAUUUAUUCUUUUAAGACUAACAAAAGUGCUAUGUAAUUUGAUUUCUGCUUAUGUAUACCAUGGGAUGAUAGAGUAAAGGGACCGCUACUUUUUAAAUCCUGUCAGCAUUUAAGGCAUAUGUUUAACAAGACCAAAACAUAGCACAAUUGUUUAAACAGCUUGUAACACCUGUUACUUACCACUUUAUUGUAUUAUUUUCUCUUAUUAAAAAGUAACACCUGUUCCUAAACUUGCCUUAUUUCACUUUUAUUUGUCAUCCAGCCACUAAAUAUAUGUAAGUGACUUUGACGUGUACACAGUAAUCCAAUAAGAGUUGCAAAUGUUGACUUUUUACGGUUAAUUCUAAUAUUUACUUCUUAAAUGCGCGCUCACUGCAGUCUGUCCCAUUGAAGAGCAUGGACAGUGCAGGCUGCGCUUGGAACUAUUGAGGGGUACAUGAACCACGUGACCGCUCUGGCGGCAAGAUCUGAAGUUGUCGCCACUCGGUUUAAUCCACUGCUCUGGUUAACGGUGAAGACUUUUUCCAUGUUUAUAGAUUGGCUGAAAUUUUAUUAUAUUUAUUGAAACAAACAGGACCAUCAGAAAAAAGACUGACUGAUUUUUAAUGAGGUUGUAGCUGUAGUGGCCCAAUGCCUUAAAAAAGCUUUCUCCUUUUUCCCCUCCUUUGUGUCUGUUUGUUGGAAUGGCUUCCUUUUCACAGUCAUCACAUGCGCAAGAUUUCAAAAAACAAAUUCUUGGAGAGCUGGAAGCUGAAGUUGCCUUGUGUUUUAUUGCAAACGUAAAUAUGUGAAUGAAUGAAUAACAUAGAUUAUUUAAACAAUAAAUCCCAGCUUAAAAGCCUGCAGUUGAUGACAAUUGGAGCUGUGAGCCGUCAUCUGGCCUUGGGUCAGCUGCUUCUACUUAUAGGUGAGUGCGCCCUCACCACCUGCGGAGGGCGCAUACAAAAUUAAAGGUCAACAAAAACAAAAUUCAGCUAUGUUAAUAAAAACUCCAAUGUGGCUCCUACAGUAGACGUCGGUCAAACAUCCUGUUUUUACGAUGAAUUUGACCAUCAAACGUCAUCAGGACAAGGACUCAGAGAAGAAAAGACUGAUUUAGUCAUCAGCACCAGAACUGAAACACACCAAAAUACAACCUUUUUUACGUCUGUAUGUUUGUGUAUUUUUUUGUCUUCCCCAGCUCUGCCCAGGUGGACCUGAAGGGUCCAGAACCAGGACCUGCAGGAGGACGAGGCUUUAGGACCUCCUGCCCCUCAUUUAGGGGAUCUAGGUCUUUGGGUUCUUGGUGUUGGAGUUAAUUCGUUAAUUUGUUCUUGAGUUGAUCGACGUGAAUUCUUUGUUUAUAAUAAAUCACCAGGUGAACUUUUAA